UACGUAGGCAGCGAGCGUUGUUCGGAGUUACUGGGCGUAAAGGGUGUGUAGGCGGUCCUUUAAGUUUGGUGUGAAAUCUCCCGGCUCAACUGGGAGGGUGCGCCGGAUACUGAGGGGCUAGAGUGCGGGAGAGGAGAGUGGAAUUCCUGGUGUAGCGGUGAAAUUCGUAGAUAUUGGGAAGAACACCGGUGGCGAAGGCGGCGCUCUGGACCGAGACUGACGCUGAGGCGCGAAAGCGUGGGGAGCAAACAGG
rnacentral:rRNA from 1 species